rnacentral:lncRNA from 1 species
UGUGAUUUUUUUUUUUUUCCCCCCACAAGACAUUUUUAUUCCACUAUUCCAGCAUUUCUGCUUCCUCGGGGGCUUAAUUUCCUUUUGGCUAAGAAAGAGAAACUGGGUGAAGAUGUAAUGCAGGUCUGGGCAAUACAGAGACCACUAUAAAUAUCAGAAUUGUAGGUGAUGUGGGCUCAGUCUGUGUCAUUUGCUUAAUCCUCAGUGCUGUGCUAAAUGAUUUACCAAGGCUGGUUUUUUAAAUAAAUCCUCCUGAACCAAGUUUAUUUCUCCUGCUAUCAACAAUCAUCAAACUUCUGAUUGCCCACCAAGGCCUCCAGAGUUUAAGUUGAAAAUAAAAUCCUAAAAUAAGACAAUGGUGACAUCUAUAUUGUUUUGCCUCAUAAAAUUUGUGACGUUUGUUUAAGUCGAAAAUGACAUCAGCAUCAGUUACUUGGUGCAAUUGAAAUAAAAUCAUGUAACCAAGUAGGUAAAAUUAAAGUCCAGGGGGACUGAGUUGUUAGACUUUAAGACUUUCUUCAUUCAGCUGUGCCUCUUGCUUGAGUGUAUUUCAUUACAAUGAGAGCAACGUCAAUUCACUUAUACUCAGUGCCCUGUGGCAGCAUCCUUAAUAUUUUACUCACACCUGCCUCAAAACUCCCACUGAUUCAUCCCAAGGAAGUGUGGGCUGGAUGCUAAGUAAGGACUUUGGUAUUUGGCUGCCAGUGUUGGAGUUCAUCCGUCCCUUUGUAAAAAGUGCAUGGGUAGAAGGAACUGUGCGGACACUGAAUGUUAGUGAAGUGCAAGGCUAAGACCAGCAGUUACACCUGCACACGCCUGACUUUUAAGGGCCACAGGAGCCCAGAAGCUGAAACUGUAGAUCACUUUCUACUUGAACUUAAAUCAGAUAAGGUAAGUUAUAAUUUAACACCUUCCUGAGGGAGAGAUUAGUCUUGCAUGGUCUAGUAGUUGUCCCUGACCUUGUUAUUGAAAUAAAAUGACCCAAAGAAAAGCUGAUAGAAACA